UCUUAUCAUAUAUCACAUACAUACAUAUCAAAAAAAUUAAUCUAUGCAUCCAUAUAUCAGCUUGGCUCUGAUACCAGUUGAAGGGAAUAUUCAUCUGAUCCGAUCGGAUGGUCAGGGUGCAUCUAAAAUUUUUUUAUAAUUCACUAUCAUAAUAUUUUUCUUUUACGUGAAAUGCAAUAGAAUAAAAAAUAAAAUUUUUAGGAGAUUCUCGAAUCCAAUACCUCACG
rnacentral:lncRNA from 1 species